rnacentral:rRNA from 1 species
CGGAUUGCAGGCUGCAACUCGCCUGCAUGAAGCUGGAAUUGCUAGUAAUCGCGGAUCAGCAAGCCGCGGUGAAUACGUUCCCGGGUCUUGUACACACCGCCCGUCACACCAUGGGGAGCCGGUAAUACCCGAAGUCAGUAGUCUAACCGCAAGGAGGACGCUGCCGAAGGUAGGAUUGGCGACUGGGGGUGAAGUCGUAACAAGGUAGC